GUGGGGAAUCUUGCGCAAUGGGCGAAAGCCUGACGCAGCCAUGCCGCGUGAAUGAUGAAGGUCUUAGGAUUGUAAAAUUCUUUCACCGGGGACGAUAAUGACGGUACCCGGAGAAGAAGCCCCGGCUAACUUCGUGCCAGCAGCCGCGGUAAUACGAAGGGGGCUAGCGUUGCUCGGAAUUACUGGGCGUAAAGGGCGCGUAGGCGGACAGUUUAGUCAGAGGUGAAAGCCCAGGGCUCAACCUUGGAAUUGCCUUUGAUACUGGCUGUCUUGAGUACGGGAGAGGUGAGUGGAACUCCGAGUGUAGAGGUGAAAUUCGUAGAUAUUCGGAGGAACACCAGUGGCGAAGGCGGCUCACUGGCUCGAUACUGACGCUGAGGUGCGAAAGCGUGGGGAGCAAACAGGAUUAGAUACCCGGGUAGUCC
rnacentral:rRNA from 1 species